GUACAAUUAAUGACAAUAGAACGAUUUUCAGAAAGAACUACAACUUAAUGGGCAAAUAACAAUUUUACGUAAAAUUUGAACACAUAAUAUGUUACCCCUUAUGGUUUUUUUCAUGAAGACCAUAGAAAAACGACAGUGUUACCCCUUAUGUUUCAUUUGAUGAAACGACAGUGUUACCCCCUAUGUUUUAUUUGCUAAAUAUCGACAGUGUUACCCCUUGAAAACGACAGUGUUACGAUUAUAUUUUAUUUGACGAAGACAACAGUG